UAUUACUCUGUUCCUUAUUUUAAUCAACAUUUUUUCCUAGUGUUUUAUUUGCUGUUGUAUUUGUAUUUUAUUUACAGUUCUGCCUAGAAUCAUCCGAGUAUGAGCCAAAUGUGCCUUUCUUCAAAUGCAGUCGUCUUAUUGUACGCCGUCUAGUUUCUCUUCAAACCAAAUUUUCAGGCACCAGAUAAAAAGUGAUAUCUGGAAAGUGCUUGUCUGAUCCCUGAUACGCUCCUGAAAAUCUUGUCUGGAAACAUCCUGCCACGGAUGCCUUAAAACAGGCUGCAAAGAUCACCAAGGAGUUCUGGAGUUUUCCUAGCUGAUCAGCUGCUGUUUCCUCUCUGAUGAUUUAUCUUUCACACCUUUGGUAUCUUUUAUUACUCUCCUUUAUUUUCAUUUCUAGGAGAUUGAGGAAAGCUCAUUAUCUAUAAUGAGACGAAAUAUAUUGCUGGUGGCCAGAAGGGUUAUUUUGAAGAAAUUCAGAGAAGAGAAAUGUCAGACUUUUGCAAAAUGGACGAACGUUCUAGCCCUUAAAGCCAUUUCUAAGGGCAUGUUCAGAAAAAUGAGAUCAGGCGUGUCACAAGCAAUCUACAUUUGAGAACGGACAAAAUGUGCAGUUGAAGAGGAGAUUUUGGGCACUUCAUCUCUACCUCAAGUACUGAAAUUACAAGCAAAAUCAGCACAGGUAAAAGGUCUGCAGGGCAAUGAGGAAGCUACAGUGAAAAGAUAUGGCUCCAGAAGAGAGAUCUGUAUGCAUGUUUGUAUGUGCUGUUUGUUUGGUCGUGGUGUUCCUUUUUUAGGGGGUGAGGGUGGAGAGAGGGUAAGGAGUACGUAUCUGAAAAGAAAUCAUAACCUUUAGCAUAAAACAUUGAUGUUAUGCAGUGGGGUAGCAAGUGAUGAGAGACAUCUCCAGGUCCAGUGCUAGAACAGGGAGAAAAGAUUGUAUGUUUCCGGGAAAUAUCUGCAAUUAAAAAUCUGCAAAUAAAAAGGAGUAAUUACUUGUUUUGAUUCUUGUA
rnacentral:lncRNA from 1 species